rnacentral:lncRNA from 1 species
ACUCCACCAGCCGGCCCCGCGGGGCGGUUACUCUGUUCCUGAGGUACCCCUCGGGAUUGUCUGUGGGGUCAGAAACAGCUCUGGAGGGGCCUGCAGAAAUUACUUUCUCAAGUCUUUGGGCUGGAAGGAACGAACAGUGCCUGACCAAGGACUUUGAGCAGGAGAGAGAUGGGAGCAGAGAGGAGCCAAGGUCUACUGUUUUCGCUUCUGUCAAUUAGAUAAAAGCCCUGCCCAGAAGCUUUGAGCGCUGCUGUCAAGUCCCAUUCCUCCCCUAAACCAUCCAGGUUCCAUCUGCCUUGAAGCCAAAGGAUCUUAUUAGCUUCCUCAAGAAAAAUUCAGGCCCGAGUUUCUCCACCAGCACUCUCCUCUCUCCGAAGGAGUGGGCGGGCUGCAUUUCUCUUCAUAUUCUAUUCCAUUCCAGACCGUCUUGGACUACCAGCCUGUCCACCACCCCUCGGGGCCCUCCCCUCCUACUCUGCCCUUGCCCGCUGAGGCCCCAAGCUGAGGAGAUGAGCAGAGCAGUAAAAAGAGAGGAGGUUUUGCAAAGCAAUGUCCUCUCAGUCUUUAACAGGUGGCCCCCCUAGGAACCUGCCGGAAGUGGAAGUUAAUAAGCUGAAGGUGGCCACAACCAAUCUCUGCCACACUUGCACCCUCCCCCACCCCAAAUCAUUCCUUUUAAUUAAUAGUGGAAGACCUUUUUAAAAAUGUAA